CCUGCUUCUGUGCUGCCGUGGCAUGCUUGGUCAUGCACUUCGGUAGAAAUAUAGACUACUUUUCAAACUGAGAACGGAUUCAGAAACUAGAGGUUCAGAGGCACUUGGGAGUCCUCCUACAGGGUCCCCUGAAGGUGGCCUGAGGGGAUGUUGGUGUGCAUCACGGUGGCGAGAAAGCAACGGAGGUGGAAUGCAGAUCAACAGGAACCCACCAGUGCUGUGCACCUCGACGGGAGGUCAGGCAGCGUCAAUGGAAGUGAAUAAACAGUCGACGUUUUGGGCCGAGACCCUUCUUCAGGACUGGAAAGGAAGAUGGAAGAUGCCAGAAUAAAAAGGUGGAGGGAGGGGAAGGAGGGUGUACAUCGUUUGUA